CGGCUCCAGUCCCAGUCCUGCAUCCUGCACCUGCCUGUCUUCAGGUCCUGAGGCCCACAGCCCAGAGCCACAGGACCCUGGGAAGGCGGUGCCUGCCUGGAGAUGCAGGGCUAAGGUCCUGGGGGCAGGAGUGAUUGGAAUGUAGUCUCCCUACCUUGCUUCUUCUCAGAGGAGGGGGAGAGGAAGGAGGUCUGAGGAAGGGCAUCAGAUGAAGCCAGUUUGGGGAGAGGCUGGAAGGGACCUGACAGUGCCACUCUGAUGGGAAAGCCAAUCUGAGGGUGAGUGGGUCUGAGAGGGCCCACGCGACAGGGUGAGCCUGAGCCAGAGCGGGUCUGGGACAUGCAUCAGAAGAGCUUUCGUUUGAAAGGGCCAGCCUGAGGGGUAAGCUGACCCAGGGGUGUCUGAAAGGGCCUGGUCUGGUGGGUCCAGUCUGAGGGGAGACUGAGCUGAAGGCACAUGGAUCCAAAGACUAGAACCGCCAACUAGUUCUAGUCUGCCUGAACUUUCCCAGUUUUAGCAUUGAAUAUCUCAAGUCUCUGGAAACCCCUCAGUCCCAGGCAAACUGGGACGUCGAUCACCCUGUUUGGGAAGGCCUUGCCUGACAGCACCAGUCUGAGUGGGGAGGCUGGUCUGAAGGACGUCUGAUGGGGGGAGGCUGGUCUGGAGGAUGUCUGAUGGGGGAGGCUGGUCUGGGGGAUGUCCGAUGGGGGAGGCUGGUCCGGAGGAUGUCUGAUGGGGGAGGCUGGUCUGGGGGAUGUCCGAUGGGG
rnacentral:lncRNA from 1 species